rnacentral:rRNA from 1 species
GAAAGUAAGCAAGGGCGCAUGGCGGAUGCCUUGGCUCUCGGAGGCGAUGAAGGACGUGAUAAGCUGCGAUAAGCUUCGGGUAGGUGCAAAUAACCUUUGAUCCGAAGAUUUCCGAAUGGGACAACCCGGCAUUCUGAAGGAAUGUCAUCCAACUAAGUUGGAAGCUAACGCAGGGAACUGAAACAUCUUAGUACCUGCAGGAAAAGAAAAUAAUAAUGAUUCCCCUAGUAGUGGCGAGCGAACGGGGAUUAGCCCAAACCAAUGUUGUUACGGCAAUAUUGGGGUUGUAGGACCACAAUGUCGCAUGAAGUUUAGUGAAUAGAACCCUUUGGAAAAUGGGGCCAUAGACGGUGAUAGCCCGGUAUAUGAAGCUAAAUGAAGCGUAGUGGUAUCCUGAGUAGCGCGGGACACGAGAAAUCUUGCGUGAAUCUGCCGGGACCAUCCGGUAAGGCUAAAUACUCCCGAGAUACCGAUAGUGAACCAGUACUGUGAAGGAAAGGUGAAAAGAACUUCGAACAGAAGAGUGAAAUAGUCCCUGAAACCGUGCGCCUACAAGCGGUCGGAGCUCCGUAAGGAGUGACGGCGUGCCUUUUGCAUAAUGAACCUACGAGUUACUUUUUCCGGCAAGGUUAAGUGUCUUAAGACAUGAAGCCGAAGCGAAAGCGAGUCUUAACAGGGCGAUUAGUCGGAAGGAGUAGACGCGAAACCAAGUGAUCUACCCUUGGGCAGGUUGAAGGUUAGGUAACACUAACUGGAGGACCGAACCGAUAAGCGUUGAAAAGCUUCCGGAUGACCUGAGGGUGGGGGUGAAAGGCUAAUCAAACUUGGAGAUAGCUCGUACUCCCCGAAAUGCAUUUAGGUGCAGCAUUGUGAGUUACUAAUGUGAGGUAGAGCGACUGAUAAGAUGCGAGGGCUUCACCGCCUAUCAAGUCUUGAUAAACUCCGAAUGCGCAUUAGUUCUAUCACAGGAGUGAGGGCAUGGGUGCUAAGGUCCAUGUCCGAAAGGAGAAGAAUCCAGACCAUCAGCUAAGGUCCCCAAAUAAUUGCUAAGUUGAACUAACGAAGUCAGAUUGCUAAGACAGCUAGGAUGUUGGCUUGGAAGCAGCCAUUCAUUUAAAGAGUGCGUAACAGCUCACUAGUCGAGGAGUUUGGCGUGGAUAAUAAUCGGGCAUCAAGCAAUUUACCGAAGCUAUGGGAUCAGUAAUGAUCGGUAGGGGAGCAUUCCACUCAGCGUCGAAGGUGUACCGUAAGGUAUGCUGGAGCGUGUGGAAAAGCAAAUGUAGGUAUAAGUAACGAUAAAGGGGGUGAGAAACCCCCUCGCCGAAAGACUAAGGUUUCCUGAUCAACGCUAAUCGGAUCAGGGUUAGUCGGGUCCUAAGGCUCAGCCGAACGGUGAGGCCGAUGGCAGAACAGGUUAAUAUUCCUGUACUACCUUGAUGAGUGACGUGGAGACGGAGCAGUGACAGCGCCGCGGACUGACGGAAUAGUCCGUUGAAGGGUGUAGACGUUGAUUGUGGCAGGCAAAUCCACCGCAAGAGUCGAACCUGAUAGUAUGGAGCGUUCUUCGGAACAAUCCAAUAGUGCGUGUAAUCAUACUCCCAAGAAAAUCCGCUAAACUUAAUCAUUAAGGUACCCGUACCGCAAACGGACACACGUAGUCGGGUUGAAUAUACUAAGGCGCUUGAGUGAUUCACGGUUAAGGAACUAGGCAAAUUGACCCUGUAACUUCGGGAUAAAGGGUCCCAACGAGAGUUGGGCGCAGAGAAUAGGUCCAGGCAACUGUUUAACAAAAACACAGGGCUGUGCCAAAUUGAAAGAUUACGUAUACAGCCUGACACCUGCCCGGUGCUGGAAGGUUAAGAGGAGAUGUCAUCGCAAGAGAAGCAUUGAAUUGAAGCCCCAGUAAACGGCGGCCGUAACUAUAACGGUCCUAAGGUAGCGAAAUUCCUUGUCGGGUAAGUUCCGACCUGCACGAAUGGUGUAAUGAUCUGGACACUGUCUCAACCGUGAGCUCAGUGAAAUUGUAGUAUCGGUGAAGAUGCCGAUUACCCGCGAUGGGACGAAAAGACCCCGUGAACCUUUACUAUAGCUUAACAUUGAAUUUGGGUAAUUAAUGUGUAGGAUAGGCCGGAGACUUUGAAUCAGGUACGCCAGUAUUUGUGGAGUCGCUGUUGAAAUACGGCCCUUUGAUUAUUUGAGUUCUAACUCGUGUAUGCGAGGACACUGUUUGGUGGGUAGUUUGACUGGGGUGGUCGCCUCCAAAAGUGU